UAAUGCCUAGGAAAUUGCCCUGAUGUGGGGGAUAACCAUUGGAAACGAUGGCUAAUACCGCAUAAUACCUUCGGGUCAAAGAGGGGGACCUUCGGGCCUCUCGCGUCAGGAUAUGCCUAGGUGGGAUUAGCUAGUUGGUGAGGUAAUGGCUCACCAAGGCGACGAUCCCUAGCUGGUCUGAGAGGAUGAUCAGCCACACUGGAACUGAGACACGGUCCAGACUCCUACGGGAGGCAGCAGUGGGGAAUAUUGCACAAUGGGCGCAAGCCUGAUGCAGCCAUGCCGCGUGUGUGAAGAAGGCCUUCGGGUUGUAAAGCACUUUCAGUCGUGAGGAAGGUAGUGUAGUUAAUAGCUGCAUUAUUUGACGUUAGCGACAGAAGAAGCACCGGCUAACUCCGUG
rnacentral:rRNA from 1 species